GCAGGGAGGUACAGAGAUCGGUGACAAGAUGGACAUAAAAGGGUUGUUGGAUAUCCUAAAUCCUUAAAAAACUUUUACAAGGAGGCUGACAGAUAAAACUCACCUCUGGAUAAAGCAAGUGUGUCUCCAAUGAGCAGGAACACUCAUGAAAUGGAAACAGCUCUUGCUCGUGUUCGGUGCCCAGGGAUCAAGAAGGUUCUGCUCCCCUUAGGAGAAAUGGUACCUGAUGAAUGUUCUUCCUUGCAGAGAGAAAGCUACGGGAGGAAUGGCAUAAUUUGUCCCCUCUCUGUCAUCAGCAAGAUAUUUCUACAGAGAAUAUCUGAAGGGAAGGAAAAAAGCCGGGACUGAAAGCCAGAAUUGUGUAAUCCAGCUAUUGUCUCUUACACCACUUGAACAAUUUCUUUAAAUAAAAAAUGCUGAAGUUAAUUCA
rnacentral:lncRNA from 1 species